GGCAUGUGUACCACACAUCAGAGAUCCAGGGAAGGUUGUCAGGGAUUUGACUGAAGCUGAACUGGAUUCUCUGUCACAUUCACAAAAUGAAUACAAACAAAUGUCCCAAAGGCUGUCCAGCGAGGAGUGUGUCUGGCUGUACAGCCGUGACUCUGCCAGGCAUGUGCAAGGAGUGUAGAACUCAGUGGUUCCUUUUGUUCAAGUCCCAGCUUCACUUCCCAGGAAUAUGGAUUUGCUGUAGCUGUAUUUUCAGUGGAGGUCCUGAGACCAAAUCUGUGAGACUGGAUGGCAAGAAAGAUAAAGCUUCUUCCCACUUACGGACAUGAAAGGAAAAUUAUGAAUUUUAUGUUAUUCCGUUUCCUGCACAGAAUGUUGGCCCUUUCACAGGUGAGAAAUGAGACACUGGAGAGCAGCACUGUGGAAAGGAACCUGAGGUCCUGCUCGAUGGUGAGCUGGACAUGAGCCAGCAGUGCCCUGGCAGCCUGGAGGGACAUCCCUGUCCUGGGGUCACCAGGAGCAGCAUCACCAGCUGGCAAGGGAAGGGAUUGUCCCCUCUGCUCUGCACUGGGGCAGCCUCACCUCGAGUGCUGGGGGCACUUUUGGGCACCACAAUAUAACACUGACAUUGAGCUGUUAGAGAGCAUCCAAAGGAGGCCACGAGGAUGGUGAAGGGCCUUGAGGGGAAGCCAUGAGGAGUGACUGAGGUCCCUUGGUCUGUUCAGCCUGGAGGAAACAGGGGAGACCUCAGUGCAGUUACAGCUUCCCUGUGAGGGGAAGAGAGGGGCAGACACCGAUCUCUCUGGGGUGACGGUGGCAAGACCCAAGGGAAUGGCCUGAAUUUGUGUCAGGGGAAGUUUAGGAUAUAAUGAAGAAAUGCUUUUUAAGCCAGAGGGUGUUUGGGCACUGGCACACCAGGGCAGUGGUCACAGCACCAGCCUGACAGAGCUCAGGAAGCACUUGGACAGUGCCCUUGGGCAUUGUGAUUCUUGGGGUGUCCUGUGCAGGGCCAGGAGUUGGACUCAAUGGUCCUUGGGAUUCCCCCCCAAUUCAGCUGAUUCGGUGUUGGCCCUAAAAAUGGGCCAAUCCCAAUUUUCUGUACUUGUAACAGAGCCAUUCAACUCCUUACAUUUUAUAUUUAUGUGUUUACAAAUCUUUUCUUGUAAAAACUUUAAAAAAAAAUGUGCAUUCAAAGCUUUAUUCUGAAAGAUUUUACUCAUUUCAAAAAAGGAUUUCCAGAACUUUGAGGUGACAAUUCAACAGAAUUCUUGCAUAAUCUAUAGAAUCCUUUAUGUCAGCACCAUAGCUCCAGUUUCAGGUAGCUUAAACAAGAAAAAUACUGAGCCCAAGUAUAAUCUGGCUUCAAGUAAUUUAAAUAAUUGCAGGCUUGUGGGGCCUUGCCAGGUCUUGUACUGCAGACAUUUAGAUCACUGAUGAUGAAGAAAUAAUAAGACAGAGCUGCUGUGAUGGAAAGCUCCAUAUUAGCUUUCAGUCUUUCUGCAAAGCUCCAUUAACUCUCACAUAAAAGUACAUAUAGAUAUUACUGAGUAUGUCUCCAUGAAGUUCACAUACCAUUAACUGCAAACUUAAACACAUGUGAAAAACAUCUUUUCAUAUCUUGCUUAAACAAACUUGUCAGUGGAUAAUGAAAUACUUAUUUACCCCUAAGCAUUUUAUACAUCAAGUUUGAAGAAAGUUUUAAAUAACUUUUUUUUCCAGUGACUGCUUACCUUAUUUGUGCUGUUUUCUGUCCUUUCUUGAAUCCUGGUGGUUACUAGGUCUUCUGAUCAGUGGCAGUUCUGUCUAGCAUUCAUCAGCAUUAUCCUUGAAUUCAGAAAUUUAAUUAAAAUAACUCCAUCUUCCAAAGACUUUGUACUGAAAUGUGCAUGUUGUAGAUUGCUUCCUUACCUCUUAGCAGUGGUUUCAAGGUUAAGAGGUGUUUUUCUUUCUUGCUAGAAGGAAAUAAGCUGGAGUAACUUCCCUACCAUGUUUGACUCAUUGCUGUAGUUGUCUAAAUAAAACAUGUAUUUUUUAUUCUGUAA